rnacentral:rRNA from 1 species
UACGUAGGUGGCAAGCGUUGUCCGGAUUUACUGGGCGUAAAGAGCGCGCAGGCGGCCAGAAAAGUCCGCUGUGAAAACUCGAGGCUCAACUUCGAGCUGUCGGUGGAAACUUUCUGGCUAGAGUCCGGAAGAGGAGAAUGGAAUUCCUGGUGUAGCGGUGAAAUGCGCAGAUAUCAGGAAGAACACCCGUGGCGAAGGCGGUUCUCUGGGACGGUACUGACGCUGAGACGCGAAAGCGUGGGGAGCGAACAGG